AGCAUGAUCGUAAGGACAUGUGGAGCGCUUAGAAGUGAGAAUGCCGGUGUGAGUAGCGAAAGACGGGUGAGAAUCCCGUCCACCGAUUGACUAAGGUUUCCAGAGGAAGGCUCGUCCGCUCUGGGUUAGUCGGGUCCUAAGCUGAGGCCGACAGGCGUAGGCGAUGGAUAACAGGUUGAUAUUCCUGUACCACCUAUAAUCGUUUUAAUCGAUGGGGGGACGCAGUAGGAUAGGCGAAGCGUGCGAUUGGAUUGCACGUCUAAGCAGUAAGGCUGAGUAUUAGGCAAAUCCGGUACUCGUUAAGGCUGAGCUGUGAUGGGGAGAAGACAUUGUGUCUUCGAGUCGUUGAUUUCACACUGCCGAGAAAAGCCUCUAGAUAGAAAAUAGGUGCCCGUACCGCAAACCGACACAGGUAGUCAAGAUGAGAAUUCUAAGGUGAGCGAGCGAACUCUCGUUAAGGAACUCGGCAAAAUGACCCCGUAACUUCGGGAGAAGGGGUGCUCUUUAGGGUUAACGCCCAGAAGAGCCGCAGUGAAUAGGCCCAAGCGACUGUUUAUCAAAAACACAGGUCUCUGCUAAACCGUAAGGUGAUGUAUAGGGGCUGACGCCUGCCCGGUGCUGGAAGGUUAAGAGGAGUGGUUAGCUUCUGCGAAGCUACGAAUCGAAGCCCCAGUAAACGGCGGCCGUAACUAUAACGGUCCUAAGGUAGCGAAAUUCCUUGUCGGGUAAGUUCCGACCCGCACGAAAGGCGUAACGAUUUGGGCACUGUCUCAACGAGAGACUCGGUGAAAUCAUAGUACCUGUGAAGAUGCAGGUUACCCGCGACAGGACGGAAAGACCCCGUGGAGCUUUACUGUAGCCUGAUAUUGAAAUUCGGCACAGCUUGUACAGGAUAGGUAGGAGCCUUUGAAACGUGAGCGCUAGCUUACGUGGAGGCGCUGGUGGGAUACUACCCUAGCUGUGUUGGCUUUCUAACCCGCACCACUUAUCGUGGUGGGAGACAGUGUCAGGCGGGCAGUUUGACUGGGGCGGUCGCCUCCUAAAAGGUAACGGAGGCGCUCAAAGGUUCCCUCAGAAUGGUUGGAAAUCAUUCAUAGAGUGUAAAGGCAUAAGGGAGCUUGACUGCGAGACCUACAAGUCGAGCAGGGUCGAAAGACGGACUUAGUGAUCCGGUGGUUCCGCAUGGAAGGGCCAUCGCUCAACGGAUAAAAGCUACCCCGGGGAUAACAGGCUUAUCUCCCCCAAGAGUUCACAUCGACGGGGAGGUUUGGCACCUCGAUGUCGGCUCAUCGCAUCCUGGGGCUGUAGUCGGUCCCAAGGGUUGGGCUGUUCGCCCAUUAAAGCGGUACGCGAGCUGGGUUCAGAACGUCGUGAGACAGUUCGGUCCCUAUCCGUCGUGGGCGUAGGAAAUUUGAGAGGAGCUGUCCUUAGUACGAGAGGACCGGGAUGGACAUACCUCUGGUGUACCAGUUGUCGUGCCAACGGCAUAGCUGGGUAGCUAUGUGUGGACGGGAUAAGUGCUGAAAGCAUCUAAGCAUGAAGCCCCCCUCAAGAUGAGAUUUCCCAACUUCGGUUAUAAGAUCCCUCAAAGAUGAUGAGGUUAAUAGGUUCGAGGUGGAAGCAUGGUGACAUGUGGAGCUGACGAAUACUAAUCGAUCGAAGACUUAAUCAA
rnacentral:rRNA from 1 species